rnacentral:rRNA from 1 species
AGUGAACGCUGGCGGUAGGCCUAACACAUGCAAGUCGAACGGCAGCACAGUAAGAGCUUGCUCUUACGGGUGGCGAGUGGCGGACGGGUGAGGAAUACAUCGGAAUCUACUUUUUCGUGGGGGAUAACGUAGGGAAACUUACGCUAAUACCGCAUACGACCUACGGGUGAAAGCAGGGGAUCUUCGGACCUUGCGCGAUUGAAUGAGCCGAUGUCGGAUUAGCUAGUUGGCGGGGUAAAGGCCCACCAAGGCGACGAUCCGUAGCUGGUCUGAGAGGAUGAUCAGCCACACUGGAACUGAGACACGGUCCAGACUCCUACGGGAGGCAGCAGUGGGGAAUAUUGGACAAUGGGCGAAAGCCUGAUCCAGCCAUACCGCGUGGGUGAAGAAGGCCUUCGGGUUGUAAAGCCCUUUUGUUGGGAAAGAAAAGCAGCAGGUUAAUACCCCGAUGUUCUGACGGUACCAAAAGAAUAAGCACCGGCUAACUUCGUG